UCUCUCUUUCAGUUCCUCUCUGCUUCCUGGCCACCAUGUGGUGAGGAGCUGUCCCGCACCAGGCCCUUCCUCCAUGAUGCUUCUGCUUCAUCACAGGCCUAAAGCAAUGCAGCCAGCAAACCACUGUUUGAAAACAUGACCUAAAACCUUUCCUCCUCUAAGUUGUUUAUGUCAGGUUUUUGGUCACAGAGAAAGAAAACUGACUAACACAAGGUGGUAAUGAAGCAGGAGAAAGAGAGAGCCUCUGCAGUAGAUGGGACCACAAGUGUGCACCACAAUGCCUGGAUUGAGCAAAGGGAUUUAAAAAAGAAAAAAAACUUGCCUUCUCUUUGCCAAGAUUCACAGACUGGAGUUUUAGAAAAAUAUUUUAAAGCCAACAGCUUUAUAUUGUUUGAGGUAAGGACAGUUUACCAAUGAUGUAG
rnacentral:lncRNA from 1 species